CCUACGGGUGGCAGCAGUGAGGAAUAUUGGGCAAUGGGCGCGAGCCUGAACCAGCCAAGGAGCGUGAAGGAUGACUGCCCGAGGGGUUGUAAACUUCUGUGAUAGGGGAAGAAAGUGCAGUAGGUAGACGGCUUUGCAUGUACCUUAUGAAUAAGGAUCGGCUAACUCCGUGCAAGGAGCCGCGGUAAUACGGAGGAUCCGAGCGUUCUCCGGAGUUAUUGGGGUUAAAGGGAGCGUAGGCGGGUUGUUAAGUCAGUUGUGAAAGUUUGCGGCUCAACCGUAAAAUUGCAGUUGAUACUGGCAUCCUUGCGUACAGUCGCGGUAGGCGGUAUUCGUGGUGUAGCGGUGCACUGCUUUGAU
rnacentral:rRNA from 1 species